UGGCCAUAUCACGUUGAAACACCGGUUGCCGUAAAAUCACCGAAGUUAAAUAACGUCCAGUCUGGUUAGUACCUAGGCGGGUGACCGCGUAGGAAUACUAGGUGUUGUAAU